GAGUAACGCGUAGGUAACCUGCCUCUUAGCGGGGGAUAACUAUUGGAAACGAUAGCUAAUACCGCAUAAAAGUCGAUAUCGCAUGAUAUUGAUUUGAAAGGUGCAAAUGCAUCACUAAGAGAUGGACCUGCGUUGUAUUAGCUAGUUGGUGAGGUAACGGCUCACCAAGGCGACGAUACAUAGCCGACCUGAGAGGGUGAUCGGCCACACUGGGACUGAGACACGGCCCAGACUCCUACGGGAGGCAGCAGUAGGGAAUCUUCGGCAAUGGGGGCAACCCUGACCGAGCAACGCCGCGUGAGUGAAGAAGGUUUUCGGAUCGUAAAGCUCUGUUGUAAGAGAAGAACGAGUGUGAGAGUGGAAAGUUCACACUGUGACGGUAACUUACCAGAAAGGGACGGCUAACUACGUGCCAGCAGCCGCGGUAAUACGUAGGUCCCGAGCGUUAUCCGGAUUUAUUGGGCGUAAAGCGAGCGCAGGCGGUUAGAUAAGUCUGAAGUUAAAGGCU
rnacentral:rRNA from 1 species